AGCUGCGUACACAACCCGCAAGCACACACACACACACAGCAUACACACACGCAUGGAAUGGAAAGGAGAAAGCUCUCUUUCUCUCUCUAGAUUUCUCACAAAAUUAAGGGAAUUGGUGAAGAAGUAAGUUUGGAAGUCGAUUUUCAUCUUCAUCAUCAUCUUCCUCUCUAUUGGAGCUAAUUUGAGAGGGAAACGAACGCGCUGGCGAAGACGGUUCGGCAAUCCGACGAGCCGUUGCGAAGUUAUUAAAGAAACGGACGUUAGGCUUCGUUUCCGCCUGGAGGGCCGAGGCGACGUCGUAAAAUCCUGGAAACGGAUUUGAAGCACCAUAACAGCAAAACGAAGACCCUUUUUACCCGGGGCUGCGAAGCGAUGCGCGGUUGGUACGCAACUACAAGUUCCGACGGAACCGAGCGCCGGAUGCCGCGGGAGGCCGAUUGCAAGUGUCGACAAGCAAUCGGAACGCGAAUCGAGGUUGUACGAGUGCGGCGCGGCGGCGCGAGGCGUGGGCGUAGCUCCGUAGAUGCGCCCUACC